CUCCGUCGUCCACACCAAAGUGGAUGUCACGCACCGUGGGCUGUUUGGAAUGGAGUCAACUCUAUUCUAAACCAAGGAUCUAGUACUUAUUUAGAUAUUAGAUAUAAUUACUUUUGAAAUAGAGUUGUUAUCAAAUAAUAAAAAAUAUUUUCAAAGCCUUAUAACACCGUAUAUACUAUGGUUUUACAAAAUACUUCUGUUUUAUAGCGUCAUGAACUUUUUGGAUAGAACAAACCUUAUAAUUUUGAAAAUCGUACCGUUAGUAAAAUAUAAUGAUAUGGUAGACGCCCAAACUCCUAUGAACACAAACCUUAUAAUUUUGAAAAUUGUAUUGUUAGUAAAAUAUAAUGGUAUCACAGUAUUGUCUCUAAACCAUGGUACUGUACCAUGUAGACACCCACACCCCUACGCUACCCUG
rnacentral:lncRNA from 1 species